ensembl:lncRNA
GCGGGUCUGGGCCGCCUGGGGGACCUCGGAGUCGGUGCGUUAUGCAUACAGCGACAAAUAGAUCGUAACUUCGUGGCGGCGAGGGCUCAUCGCCGGCUCCGAAGGCCUCGCAGCGGCCUGGCCCCACGCCGGGGGGCCGUGCUGGGGUCGUAGGGGAACUGGAGCGGACGGACGGACGGACGGACGGACGGCAGCUUCGGGCCGCUGUGCGGGAGCGGCGUCCUCCGCCCCUCCGCCUCUGUGCCGCGCAGGCGCUCCUGACCGCGCUGUCCCGGUGCCGCUCCGCGAGCUUUGGCGUCGCUCCGUACCGCCGCACUCCGACGGGGACCCGGCGCCGAAGGGCCGGUGCUGCUGCCGCCGAACUCCGCGUGUUCGGCCCCGAAGGCGCCAUCCGAAUGCGGAAAUAUGGAUGCAGCGCGCUGCAGUGGGAAGAAACCGUGGUGGUCGAGCGCAGACCCGGCGAUGAGGAUGGAGAUCAAAUACGGAGCUGAUAGAAAGGACCUACAAACAGCUGGAGAGGGAGCCAAGGGAAGCAGAAGGCAGGAGAGCUCCUGCAGCUGCUGACGAGGCUGCACAAGCCCACGUGCAGCAUCUGCAGCCCUCAGCUCGCCGGGGCGAUGUACCCACAUUUCAUCAGGCAGCAGCGGACGAGCCUGGAUGUUCUCAGAAACCGCAAACACGUCGAGACACCAGGACCUGGAGCAUAUGAUGUAGACCGGGGCUAUCGAGCUUGCUUACCCAGCUCCCCCAGCAUCACCAUCCAAGGAGUCAGGAGGCCCAAGAGACACGAAACCGGCCCCUUUACAACGUUCUGAGAUGGACUACAGAAUUCCACUCCUAACCACAGGGCUUGCUCCUCAUUUCAGUAGUAAAAAGAAAAAUGCACAGAAGUUCAC